rnacentral:rRNA from 1 species
AAUCAACGCUGGCGGCGUGCCUCAGACAUGCAAGUCGAACGCGAAAGUUCCCUUCGGGGGCGAGUAGAGUGGCGCACGGGUGAGUAACACGUAGGUAAUCUACCUUUGGGUGGGGAAGUAACAGCCGGAAACGGCUGCUAAUACCGCAUAAUGCAGCGGCUCGACAUCGAGACAGUUGUUAAAGCGGGGGAGUCGCAAGACCUCGCGCCUAAAGAGGAGCCUGCGGCGGAUUAGCUUGUUGGUGAGGUAAUGGCUCACCAAGGCAUCGAUCCGUAGCCGGCCUGA